CCGCCGGCGACCGGCGCACGGGGGGGUNAGUAACACGUAUGCAACCUGGCCGUGACAGAUGGAUAACCGGGAGAAAUCCCGCCUAAUACAACAUAAUGCCGGGAGGGGACAUCCCCUGCUGGUCAAAGGGGGCGACCCCGGUCACGGAUGGGCAUGCGGCGCAUUAGGUAGUUGGUGGGGCAACGGCCCACCAAGCCGACGAUGCGUAGGGGUUCUGAGAGGAAGGUCCCCCACAUUGGAACUGAGACACGGUCCAAACUCCUACGGAAGGCAGCAG
rnacentral:rRNA from 1 species